GGCGGGGUGCCGGAGUGGACUAACGGAGCUGUCUUGAAAACAGUCGCACCGACAGGUGCCCAGGGUUCGAAUCCCUGUCCCGCCGCCA
rnacentral:tRNA from 2 species